UACGUAGGGGGCUAGCGUUGUCCGGAAUCAUUGGGCGUAAAGAGCGUGUAGGCGGCCCGAUAAGUCCGCUGUGAAAGUCCAGGGCUCAACCCUGGGAUGCCGGUGGAUACUGUCGGGCUCGAGUCCGGAAGAGGCAAUCGGAAUUCUUGGUGUAGCGGUGAAAUGCGUAGAUAUCAGGAGGAACACCGGUGGCGAAGGCGGGUCUCUGGGCCGAUACUGACGCUGAGGAGCGAAAGCGUGGGGAGCGAACAGG
rnacentral:rRNA from 1 species